rnacentral:tRNA from 1 species
CAGGCAGGGCAUAUUACGAUGCAUAAUUUAUGCGUAGAUGGCGGCGCGACCUUAGGCGUGUAACUGAAUUUAAA